AGUGGACGCUGGCGGUAGGCCUAACACAUGCGAGUCGAGCGGCAGCACAGGAGAGCUUGCUCUCUGGGUGGCGAGUGGCGGACGGGUGAGGAAUACAUCGGAAUCUACUCUGUCGUGGGGGAUAACGUAGGGAAACUUACGCUAAUACCGCAUACGGCCUACGGGUGAAAGCAGGGGACCUUCGGGCCUUGCGCGAUUGAAUGAGCCGAUGUCGGAUUAGCUAGUUGGCGGGGUAAAGGCCCACCAAGGCGACGAUCCGUAGCUGGUCUGAGAGGAUGAUCAGCCACACUGGAACUGAGACACGGUCCAGACUCCUACGGGAGGCAGCAGUGGGGAAUAUUGGACAAUGGGCGCAAGCCUGAUCCAGCCAUACCGCGUGGGUGAAGAAGGCCUUCGGGUUGUAAAGCCCUUUUGUUGGGAAAGAAAUCCAGCUGGCUAAUACCCGGUUGGGAUGACGGUACCCAAAGAAUAAGCACCGGCUAACUUCGUGCCAGCCGCCGCCGUAA
rnacentral:rRNA from 1 species